GGUAAAAAAAACAUAAUGAGACAUAAAAAGUCAAUAGCUACGAAUUUUAGAGCCAAAAUAAGUGGAAACCCCACAACUUUUCCCGCAUCUUUUUAAAUUUCAAAGAGGUCUCGGUUUUCCCGCGGCACCGCACCAACCAAUUAGAAGGGCGGUCUCAUUUUGAGCUGUGACGUAGAAAAGUACAUUUCUCCGCUUGCCACCACCUUCUGUAUUUUCUCUAUGGAAUAAAGGAUCCAUCUGUCAUGUAUGCAAAAAAAAAAACCGUAAACGUAAACAACUAGCAACCGGGUUUAGGUUAGGUUAAGGGAAAAGUGAACAGAGCGAGAGCAAUUAAAAGUAUCGCCGCCAUUUUGAUACGUACGUACAAAACGAACUAAAUGGAAAUCACUAAUGAGAAUGGAAACUGAUUUUAUUUUCUGCUGUUCAUUGACUACGUCACUCAGUUGCAACUGCAGCUGCAUUACCCUCUCCUUUUCUUAUUAGCUACUGCUUGUGUUUGUUAUUUUCUGAUUGUGAGCUGUAAUCAUGGUCAAUGCUGUUAUCUUUGGUGUUAUCAGUGCUGGUAUUGGUGCUGUGGACAGGGAGUUCUUUUGCCAACAAUCUUGAAGUCUUUUAAUUUUCAGCACUGUGACGAAGUUCAACAAAUAAGCAUUUUUUAGCUACUUAUAGAUUAGAGGACUGAUUUACUUUACCAGCAUGGUCAGUUGCGCUGUCUGCGGCUGUUCUCACCGAACGGGCAAUAGAAACAAGCCAGCCUCUCAGGUGAAAUUUGAAGAACAGAACAAAAGGCCCAUGAAGUUCUUCAGGUUUCCAUUAAGUAAUCCUGAAAAGUGGAAAAAAUGGGUUCUAGCUAUACGCCGAAAUAAUUUUACUCCUUGUAAAUAUUCGAGGGUAUGUGAAAUACAUUUCGAAAAGAAAUUCUUGAAGAAAGGGGUGAAGAGAGUUGGCUGCAUUUCUCUCUCGCCAGAUGCGAUCCCAACUAUUUUUCCAGCGCACCCACCAGAUUUAGAGAAGUUGGCUAGUAAAACCUGA
rnacentral:lncRNA from 1 species